rnacentral:pre_miRNA from 1 species
AGUGUGAUAGAUGGGUCAAAUGGUGAUUGCCUUUCAGAUUUUCUAAGGAAUCCCUAAACUGCUUUUCAUAAUGGUUGCACCAAUUUGCAGUCCCACCAGCAAU